UGGGGAAUAUUGGACAAUGGGCGAAAGCCUGAUCCAGCGACGCCGCGUGAGUGAAGAAGUGUUUCGGCAUGUAAAGCUCUAUCAGCAGGGAAGAAAAUGACGGUACCUGACUAAGAAGCCCCGGCUAACUACGUGCCAGCAGCCGCGGUAAUACGUAGGGGGCAAGCGUUAUCCGGAUUUACUGGGUGUAAAGGGAGCGUAGACGGUUAAGCAAGUCUGAAGUGAAAGCCCGGGGCUCAACCCCGGUACUGCUUUGGAAACUGUUUGACUUGAGUGCAGGAGAGGUAAGUGGAAUUCCUAGUGUAGCGGUGAAAUGCGUAGAUAUUAGGAGGAACACCAGUGGCGAAGGCGGCUUACUGGACUGUAACUGACGUUGAGGCUCGAAAGCGUGGGGAGCAAACAGG
rnacentral:rRNA from 1 species